AAUUCCAAUGGUUUUAAACUACUGACUUGCUAAGUUAGCCCACCUGGGCUAAAUUGCGAGUCUGGCCUCUUUUGCUCAAAGAAUUAACCUUUAUUCUAGCAAUCUCAUCCACCUAUUUAUGAUCUAGCCACUUUCUACCAAAAGUCAAGGUCCUAAUAGAGAUGGUCAUAACUGAAAAUUUAAAUUUUAUCACAAUAACUAAAGAUUUGAGGCAUGGCUUUUUUGUUCUUUUCGUUAAAGAAUAGUCUGCCACAAACGGGCCAGAAUUGCAUAAGGUGCGAAAAGAGUCCUUAAACGCAUUACAACCUACUUGAAAACAUCUCAUUUUAUAUGCAUCAAAACUGUAAUAGAUAGUAAAGACAAGUAACACAUGACUAAAGACUGUUUGAACAUUUAAGGAUUUAUUUUUUUACAUGUGAACUCCAACAAGCUAUACUUAAACAGUCAAGAUAUUUAUCUAGCACUAAUUUAUCUAAAUGAAAAAGCUCCCAGCAGUCAAGAUGAGUUCAAAUCUUCUUGUUAAUGUGAAAAUAUCUGCAAAAUAAGAUUAAAGAGUUACCUGGGUCACAGAAUAAUAAAUGCAACAAUGAAGAGUGGAAGCUUAGCAACAAAAGCAGCAGAAAACAUCAGCGGAACAGCAGUAAAACAAACAACAAACUCGUGUUAGAACAACCCAAAAACUUAGAGAAGAAACCCAGAACCAAACUCUAAGAAGACUUUACUUUUGUGAAAGUUUUUACUCUAAGAUUCACUCCUAAAACAUACAAUUUCAGCUUACUACAAGAUGCUUCAGCUGCUGAUUUUUUAAAGAUAUGUGUCCCUUUUGUUGAGUGUAAAAGAUGAUAGUCAAAUGUUAGAAAAUUCAUUUCUAAUCAAUAAUGCAAUUAAGAAGUUUGAUACCAUUGUUCCAAUUAUUACUUUCAUUGGAUCAUUAGCUAAAGCAAACUUUUGUACCGUAUUCGGGCAUCCCAUUAGUAAACCGGUUUGGUCUGAUUUAUCAGAUUCUGACUCUCAAUGUAAGAUAGAGUGUCUGUCCAGUCCCCAUAGUAAGGAAAGAACUUCUCUUUAUAUAGGAGCCAAAAAUCUGUCAAAAAUAAUAGUUUUUUUUUACAGAAAAUCUGUCCAAAAAUCAGAAUUUUGGUCAACGAAUAGUUUUUCUUACCAACUGUGGACAUAAUUUUUGGAUUAUUUUACUCCAAACAAUCCCCGAACAGUAAAAGCAACUAAACAAAGGCCCCUAUAACUCAAGUGCCUUCUACUACCCUCACAAACUGAUAUCCAACUAAACUAUUGCUUCAAACUAGAGGAUGCAAAAUCAGAGAACUAGACUUGGACCAUUAAACUAACAAAAGAACCUAAUGGAUACAAACAAACAAAACAUAUAGUUAAGGCCUUAAACUAAUUAGCUUAAACAUAGACAAAACUAGAAAUAAUAAAUAUAAAACUAGAACUUAAAAACGUAAAGGCAACACAGAAUACGAACGAUAGGAAACAACUAUCGAGUCGACUGAAACAUGAAAUAAAAAACGAGACUAAACACGAACUAACGAUCACUAACAGAUUUCGAACUAAGGAAAAACACCAAAAUCAAUCGCAAAACCAUAAGAUCAAUGAGCUUCGCCAAUUACAAAUAGUUAAUCGGAUUUUAGGAAUUAGAACUUAACAACUUAAGGGCAACACAGAAUACGAAUGAUAGUGAAACAACUAUUGAGUCGACUGAAACAUGAAAUCAAAAAUGAGACUAAAUACGAAAUAAUGAUCACUAACAGAUUUUGAACUAAAUAAAAAUACCAAAAUCAAUCGCGAAACCAGAAGAUCAAUAACGUCGCCAAUUACAAAUAGUUAAUCAGAUUUCACAAGUAAUUAUCAAAACUGUUUGACUAAACAAAAAUAUAAUGACAGAUUAAACGACUAAGUAAUACGUGUUUUGAAAGUAACAAGCAACAACCAAUAUCGAGGAAAGUUAAUGAAAGUAAAUAUGAACUAACUAUCAUGGAUUAACAAUCGAUUCAAAGCAGAAAAUUAAACCAAAACUUAAACUUAAAUGGGAAAAACAGAAGAUAUAAAAAGAGGGAAAGAAUUGAAGCAAUGGCCAAAACGAAUAAACAACAACAGAAUUGCUAAAAUCACCAAAAGAUAACUAAUCACUAAUUGAGAAAAAAACAGAACUUAAAAAAAAUUAAAAAUCUAAAAAUCAGUCAAUAUAGAAGAAAUAAAACCAAUGAACAAGGGAUUAGUAUUUUACCUAAACGCUCGGGCUCCAAAUCAGUGGUACAACACAACUAUACGUCGAAUUGACCUCAACGCCUCUUUUUCUCGACGAUAAAUGCUGAAAAACUCAAACUAUGGCAAACCAAGUUGAGUCCAACACUAUUUCAAAGACAACGAGAGACAAAAGGGUCGUAUUUUUCUAGAGGGAGGCUGGGCGGCGACAGAAGCGGAAACAGUAGGGUGUUCGAUGGUGGCUGGAAGAAACUUGUCGGAUUUUGGAGAGGUUUGGAAGUUUUUGGUGCGGGGAAUGGAAAAGAGGAGAGUGAGAGGAGGCGGUGGUGUAAAAUUUUUGGAGUUUGGGGUGGUGGGCGGUGGCUCGGGUUUCGGUUAAGCUUAGAUUUACGAAGAUUAAGAAAGGUUAUGGGAUUUUUGGGUUCGGAUUCACGGAGAGGAGGUUGAGCGGAAAAAAUGGUGAAUUUUUGGGGUGGAUUAGAGGUUGGCCGCCGCCGCUGGCAAAUUGGCGGGCGUUGCGAGGGGCAUGGGUCAGAUAGCGAGAGAGGGUGAGAAGAGAGAGGAAGAAGAAAAGAACUAUGGGUGGAAAUGGGGACAGUUCUC
rnacentral:lncRNA from 1 species